ensembl:snRNA U6 U6 spliceosomal RNA
GUUCCUACAUCCAGGAUUCCAAAAAAUGAUACAGAGAAGAUUAGUAUGGCCACUGAGCAAGAAUGACAUGCCAAUACAUGAAGCAGUCUAUAGUUUU